rnacentral:tRNA from 1 species
GCUCGCAAACAGUUUCGGGAGUAACGCGCGUGGCUUAGGACCACGUGGAGCAAUCCAUUGGAGGUUCGAGUCCUCUCCCCAGCA